rnacentral:lncRNA from 1 species
UAGCGACGUGACAAGCAUGUGGGUACUGGGUUCAGAGAGACGUUAUAGAUGACCGUUGAAUGUUUUGUGGCGUGUAAAUCACGUCGCAAAUAGCGACGUGUUUACCACGUGGGAACCUUUCCUUUAACUUCCCUCUUCUCUCCCUCUUCCCUUCACCGUUUCAUUCUUCUUCGUUUCCUCUUCAAGCUUCCACCAGACCCAUUUUCCCUUC